rnacentral:rRNA from 1 species
AUUGAACGCUGGCGGCAGGCCUAACACAUGCAAGUCGAGCGAGCGGCGGACGGGUGAGUAAUGUAUGGGGACUGCCCGAUAGAGGGGGAUAACUACUGGAAACGGUAGCUAAUACCGCAUACUAUCGGAUAACCCAUAUGGGAUUUGCUAGUAGGUGGGUUAAUGGCUCACCUAGGCGACGAUCCCUAGCUUGGCUGAGAGGAUGAUCAGCCACACUGGGACUGAGACACGGCCCAGACUCCUACGGAUGCAGCAGUGGGGAAUAUUGCACAAUGGGCGCAAGCCUGAUGCAGACAUGCCGCGGGUAUGAAGAAGGCCCUAGGGUUGUAAAGUACUUUCAGUCGGGAGGCGUGACCGAAAGAAGAAGCACCGGCUAACUCCGUGCCAGAAGGCGCGGUAAUAG